GAUGCCCCAACGUUACAGAGGAAAUUCUGGUGACUGUCCAGGGUUUCACAUAAUCCCCAUGGACCUGAACACUGACCUUGCUGUCCACCCUGGAAUGCUGGGAUGACAGGCAUGCAUCAUGCCAGGCCCAACAGAAAGAUGACUCCAGGAUAGAGAUUUUUGCUGCUGGGUCUGAGACCUGAGCUGGAUCCCCAUGAUCAACAUGGUGAAGAAGAGAACGAACUUCUGCAGGUUGGUGUAAUUUCAAGGCUCCUUUUGUGCACUGUGGUAUGUAUACAUACACACAUGAACAUGAUAAAUAAGAAUAAAUAUAAUUAAAAAUUUUAAACAGGGCAAGGGAAUACAUGCCUUUAUUUCUAGCACCUGGGAGACAGAGGUAGACAAAUCGCUGAGUUCCAGGCUAAUGUACACCACCACCACUUGGAGAA